rnacentral:misc_RNA from 1 species
AAAAAACAUCUGUUAUUUUGCCCAUUACACAUUAGUGAUGCUCUUAUAAAGAUUGCGCUUUGUAACUUUUGAGUGUUAUCAUAACCAUUGCGAUGUGAUAGAAUUAAUAUUAUGCCUUCUACCUUAAUUUCUUUUACUUAUUCCCAAGGGCCUUAUUUUGCUAUUGUGUUUGAUAGGUGAGAAUUAAUUGAAUGUAAUAUAUACCAGCUGAUUUGUAAGGUAUUUUAAAAAUUUUAGUGGCAUUUUUUAAAUAUUUGCAGGUUAUUUAAUAGUGAGUUAACACGUAUUUAGUGAUGGAAAUGUCUACUGCACAUCAUAUAUCUGAAUGUAAAAAUUACUUUGUAAAUUACUGGCACAAAAAUAGUAGAUUUUUUUAAUAUAAUUUUCCUGCCAUUUAAAAUAAUAGAAUUGUAGAUGAUAUUGUAUAUGUUAUUACAUGUACGAUAGAAGGUUAUUUUGGGUUCUUUUCUUAGUUGAUUUGUUAGUUUAUUCAAAAUAGAAAAUAAGGAUAGUCGAUGCCCUUGUCCAGUUAUUGGCCUUAAGCUGAUUAGUGCCUUAAAGAAAUAACACUAGUGUUCCUUAUUAAAGAUCUUUAAAAUGUGCAGGUACGCAAAUACAGCAAACAUU